ACAGUGUCUGGUGGGUAGUUUGACUGGGGCGGUCUCCUCCUAAAGAGUAACGGAGGAGCACGAAGGUUGGCUAAUCCUGGUCGGACAUCAGGAGGUUAGUGCAAUGGCAUAAGCCAGCUUGACUGCGAGCGUGACGGCGCGAGCAGGUGCGAAAGCAGGUCAUAGUGAUCCGGUGGUUCUGAAUGGAAGGGCCAUCGCUCAACGGAUAAAAGGUACUCCGGGGAUAACAGGCUGAUACCGCCCAAGAGUUCAUAUCGACGGCGGUGUUUGGCACCUCGAUGUCGGCUCAUCACAUCCUGGGGCUGAAGUAGGUCCCAAGGGUAUGGCUGUUCGCCAUUUAAAGUGGUACGCGAGCUGGGUUUAGAACGUCGUGAGACAGUUCGGUCCCUAUCUGCCGUGGGCGCU
rnacentral:rRNA from 1 species